UGUUAUCUCUCUUUGACCCACUCAUAACAUGCCAACAUAACAAAUUUGCGUUCAGCAGAACCAAUCUUGUGUUGUUAGCUCUAUUAUUAGAGUGGAUUGACCUAUUAUCAAACUUAAAGUUAGUAUAACAUUAUCUGUGUUCAUACGUUGGCUGUUUUAUAAUAUUUCAAUUUUUAUGUAGUACCUGGGUACAAUAUUGCACGAGGGUCAGAAAGAAAAAACAAACAGUGUGCUAGCUGGCGUUUGAUUGAAUGUUGAGUUAAAAACGUAGAGCAAUGAAUGAAUUACUAAGAAUUCCUAUCAAGUCUGAAUAUACGAAAAUCGCCAAAAACCAAGUUCAGAACUAAGUAUAUUAAGGGAAUAGGAGAUAGCCUUGUUUCAAUAAGGAUAACAAUGUCGCAUGGAAGAAAUAAAUAAAGAAAGCUUCUAAGAUUAAUCAGUUAAGUAAAGUGGCACAAGAGGGAUUGAUGGCUCAAAAAACAGGGUUGAACGGUUAUUGACAAAUAUAAAAAGUACUAGAAGUAGAGAUGCAGAUGAAUUUAAAGAAGUAUGUUGAAGGUCCUUAGCGAUGAAUGGACAAUGGACAUACCAAAUCUGAUAGGAGUUUAACAUUGUCAGCCACAGCCACCCUGUCAACAAGUAAGAUUGCAAUAUAUUUCAAAAGCCUAUGAACAAUGGCAUUAAAUUAACAUUUUUCACUACCAGACAUUUUCUGUAAUAGCUAUGGUAAUUGAUCAAUAGUGGAGGUGGAUGUUAUUGCUAAUGUACUGUAUUUUUUUAUUAUCAUAACAAUUUUAAAUUAAAUAAAGUACAAGACUUGCAUAAUUUGACUUGCUUUAAGAUUGAUUUAAAGCUACAGAAGCAUAAGUAUCGACUUUCUUUAAUUCUUUACAGAAACUAUUUUAUCUACAUUGAUCAAUCAUGGCUUAUGAAAACAUAUUAAGAGGUAGAUUGUAAGCACCUAAUUCUAUUGAUUAAUUAAUAAUGUUAACAACAAAAUCAUUUAACAUUGUAUUAAAUAGUAAACAAAAAACCAUAUAAAUGUUAAGAUCCCUACAUAGGUACCAUAAGAUAAAGUUACUAAUAAUAAUUUAAGCUUUUAAAAACUGAACUUACACAAUGUAUUAAGAUGAAUUGUUUAGGCCUAUGAGGUUUAAAAAUUGUGUAUGAAAUAUUAAUAAUACAAUAUGCAUAUAGUGUCUAAUGAGUGUUGUUAAAUGUCAAAUCACUAAAAAACUUGUUUAUGAAAGUACUUUGGAUUAUGGGUAUUGCAAUGUCCUUAUUUUGAUGAAGUGAUAAUUAAUUUUAUAGAUUUCAAGUACUCUCCUUUGAUUAAAAACAAAAUAUAAGGUAAAUAAAUACACUAAAUGCACUAUGGGUUUGAUAACAUAAAUAAAAAGUAUAUAAUAUAAUAUAGGUAACAACAAUAUAAUAUAAAAGUAAAAAUAAUUAAU